GGCCGGUUAUUUGGGCGCGCCCUUUUUUCGGCGGUCCAGACAAACCAGGCAUUUGCCUGGUUUGCCAACAAGAGACCGCGGGGGUUGUCUCUUUUUUUUUUCAUCUAUUCUUUUGGCCCCGUUGUUUGCCGUCAGCCGCGCGCGAGGCGUCGGGGCUCUUGGCCGAGUCCGGCGCCACCGACGGCGACGCGCGGUUUGUUCUGACCGAAGCCGACGCGCACCGCGUGGCCGCGCUCACCCGCGUCCAUUCCUCACAGGGUGAUGCUGUUGUUGCUCACGCCCCGCAACCCGCCGACCCUACAAAGAGCCGCGCCAAGAGAAACCCCGACCGCCCAAGACAGCCCGCCGCCACCGAGGCGCGACCCCGCGCCAAGAGGCGACGGACCGGCUCCAAGAACGGUCCGCCCAGUGCGCGCGACAAGAACACUAUGGACAAAAAUGCAAAGGCGCAAUAGAAUGGGGUCCGCCCGACCGCAACCAAG
rnacentral:lncRNA from 1 species